rnacentral:rRNA from 1 species
ACAGGUGGUGCAUGGUUGUCGUCAGCUCGUGUCGUGAGAUGUUGGGUUAAGUCCCGCAACGAGCGCAACCCCUAUUGUUAGUUGCCAUCAUUCAGUUGGGCACUCUAGCGAGACUGCCGGUAAUAAACCGGAGGAAGUGGGGAUGACGUCAAAUCAUCAUGCCCCUUAUGACCUGGGCUACACACGUGCUACAAUGGUUGGUACAACGAGUUGCGAGUCGGUGACGGCGAGCUAAUCUCUUAAAGCCAAUCUCAGUUCGGAUUGUAGGCUGCAACUCGCCUACAUGAAGUCGGAAUCGCUAGUAAUCGCGGAUCAGCACGCCCGCGGUCGAAUACGUUCCGGGCCUU